UUAGGUUAAGUUAUGAAGGGCGCACGGUGGAUGCCUUGGCACUAGGAGCCGACGAAGGACGGGACUAACACCGAUAUGCUUUGGGGAGCUGUAAGUGAGCUUUGAUCCAG
rnacentral:rRNA from 1 species